GAACGGUAACAGGUUAAGCUGACGAGUGGCGAACGGGUGAGUAAUAUAUCGGAACGUGCCCAGUCGUGGGGGAUAACUACUCGAAAGAGUGGCUAAUACCGCAUACGACCUGAGGGUGAAAGCGGGGGAUCGCAAGACCUCGCGCGAUUGGAGCGGCCGAUAUCAGAUUAGCUAGUUGGCGGGGUAAAAGCCCACCAAGGCGACGAUCUGUAGCUGGUCUGAGAGGACGACCAGCCACACUGGGACUGAGACACGGCUCAGACUCCUACGGGAGGCAGCAGUGGGGAAUUUUGGACAAUGGACGCAAGUCUGAUCCAGCCAUGCCGCGUGCGGGAAGAAGGCCUUCGGGUUGUAAACCGCUUUUGUCAGGGAAGAAACGCUCUGGGCUAAUACCCUGGGGUAAUGACGGUACCUGAAGAAUAAGCACCGGCUAACUACGUGCCAGCAGCCGCGGUAAUACGUAGGGUGCAAGCGUUAAUCGGAAUUACUGGGCGUAAAGCGUGCGCAGGCGGUUAUGCAAGACAGAUGUGAAAUCCCCGGGCUCAACCUGGGAACUGCAUUUGUGACUGCAUGGCUAGAGUACGGUAGAGGGGGAUGGAAUUCCGCGUGUAGCAGUGAAAUGCGUAGAUAUGCGGAGGAACACCGAUGGCGAAGGCAAUCCCCUGGACCUGUACUGACGCUCAUGCACGAAAGCGUGGGGAGCAAACAGGAUUAGAUACCCUGGUAGUCCACGCCCUAAACGAUGUCAACUGGUUGUUGGGAGGGUUUCUUCUCAGUAACGUAGCUAACGCGUGAAGUUGACCGCCUGGGGAGUACGGCCGCAAGGUUG
rnacentral:rRNA from 1 species